CCCCUGGUGGCUUAGUUGGUAAAGAAUCUGCCUGCAGUGCAGGAGACCUAGGUUCAAUCCCUGAGCCAGGGCA
rnacentral:tRNA from 1 species